GUGGAAGGUGGGAACCUUGGCUUGAUCCUUGGUCUUCGCUGGCCACAUCUGGUCAUUGGCUCAUGUUGUUGGAGGACUCACUUGUCAUUGUGCCCCCAUGAUUCUUUUACCAUGGAGCCUUGGAUCAGAGGAGAGCCAGAACCUGCUAGAAAUGGAGUUGAUUCCCUUGUCUCCACCCGCUUUGUCCCAUAGGUGUGUGGUUCUGCCAUCUUUGUUAUUUGGGAACAGAAAUGAAGGUUAACAUUGCCAUGGAUACCCACGGGCCUUCUUGUACACUGCGAUAGAGAUAGAAAUGGGAAUACUCUGGUGAGGGUUAACUUGGCAAUAAUAACACCGCACACAUCUUAAGUACCAGUGGACUGGAUGGCAGCUCGUCACCUGAAACAAAGCAGAGCUUUAAGAGUCUUUGGGCUCACAUAGGACACCCCAGAGCAGAUGUUUGAGCAAUGUCAGAUACAUACCUAUAAUCUCAGCACUCUAGGAGGGUGACGGAGGAAGAUCAAGAGUUGGAGGCUAGCUCAGGCAAUUUAGCAAGACUCUUUCUUUAAAUAAAUUAAUUAAUUAAUAAGAAAGGGCUAGGACCCAGUAUGUCUCAGUUGGCUAGGCCUGGAGGUCUACUUGGAAGAUGGGGCUUUCUGAGAAAGCCAUAGGCAAGUCCCAGGCAAACUACUUUCCAUAGGAUACAGGACAGCUAAGACCUGUUCAACUCAUCUUUGCAUGUCUACUGUCCAGAACCUCACUGUAGCAUGAGCAUGAUAAGCAUCUUUGGAAGUAACUACACAUAUGAAUAAAUUAUAAGCCUAGUUGAAAGCCCCAAGCAAAACACCCAAAUAGGUAUUGGUGAUUUAGAGGAAAGCUGGAGCAAGGAGUGAGAAAUCACUGCAAUCAUCAUUGCUUGCAAUAUUGGUCCAUUUAGGACUGGUUCACUUGGGGAAAAAAUGAACCUGUCUCCAGAACACAUUGUUCCUCAAACACGCAUUCCCAUUAAAUGUUUCUUUCUCUGA